AGGUCUGGAAAAAAAAAAGAUUAUUAAGAUUCUAGACUGGCAAGUACUUACUCGAAAUAUUCAAAAAAGACUUUCCUUCAAGUAAUGGCCAGUACUCCUCGUGGAAAGGUCUCUGUGAAUCCCUUGGGUCCAAAAUGAACAAAGCUGCUUCUCUUGCGUUCCCUCUAAAGGGCAGGAGAAGAAAACAGCUUGCAGAUAUGGAGGGUCUUGCGGGGGAGACCUGCUUAGCUGAGAGUUGGCAGGGGUGGGGUUGAACUCUUCAUGCCUUUAGUGGUUUGUGGUUUUCUUUUGGCAUUUUUUUCAGGUGCUUAAUAUGUCUUAAUGCCACUGUAGAGGCUUCAGGGAGAAAGGAGGAGCUUAAUGAUCCUGGUGUGGGAUUCCUUCUGAUGGUAGCUUGUAUAAUUUUCCAAGUAAGAUUCUGCUUUUGAUUGCUUUGUCUUGUAUACGAGUUCCAAGUCUAGGAAUUAUUUGCAUUGAUGAACAUUCUUGCGUAAUGAAUUCUGUAACGUACUGAAAACAAUUCAACGUUAACAAUGACAAGACUUAAAACUGCUCAUGUAAGCAGAUUAAUGAUUAAGUCAUACCAUUAAAACGGAAAAAAGAUUGUCUAAUGCUCAUAGUUUGAUAUGUGUCUUUGUCUUCUACGGGCGGAGGGGGGGCAUGGUAGGGAAACAUUUCUUGUCUAGCCCUUUUUCAGAUCCGUCUUCAGAAUACUAGCCUCAAGGAGCCUGAGAAAUACAAGGCCUCAUAAGCAGAGGGAGCAGCUUCUUGGUGGAGGAUAAGUAAAGGCAGAACCAUCCUAUGCUAUUACUCCUUUGAUUGAUGGAAAAAGUCCCAGAUGUUAAACAAGUGAAAGUCCCGUGCCAGCCAAGGGGGGAAAACCCACAAGGUCAUAAGCAAUGAAGCAGGCAGAUUUGAAGUGUGUGGAUUGAGUGUGAAAUGCCAUGAUGCUAUUCUGUGAAAUUCCCAAAAUCAAUGCAAUGAGGAGGAGUUUGCAUUAAAGCAGUGAGAGAGAUUCCAUUUCUUCAGUGUGGGAGCAAAAUUGAAAGAGAAUCAUCAGGGGAGCGGCAAAUAAGCUUUCUACCAAAGUGUGAUGCCCAAUAUUUGAUAUGCAAUAUUGCAAAUCUUAACGGAAUUGAAGAGAGAAUAAUGCGAUGUUGAAAUAUUCCUAAAUCUAAAUGGAAACGAAAAGAGAAUAAUGCAAAGCCACGCUAGUGUUGGAUCAAGCGUGUGUUGGAGAGGAGAGGAGGCGCCUUGUGCUGUUGUCAUUCUUUACCUCAGACAGGUGCUCAGCACUCCUAAGGAGAGGAAAUGUGCUUCGUUCCAUCGGGGAGCUGUAUAAGCGAGCAGGCAUCUGUUACAGAUAAGUUUUACCAAUUCUGCCAGAAUUGCAAGUCAGAAAGGUGGGUGGCUUAAUCUUUCCAUGUUGUGGUAGGUGCCAGAGUCAUUUUGAUCAGCCCUACUGGCUGCUUGCUAACCACGGUUCUUGCUGGGUUGCCUAUGGCCCCCAGUUGCCCUCAAAGGGGGAGCUACAGCUCUAUUAAUCCGAUCAUGCCGUCUGUUAUUUCCUGGGAGUCUGGGCCUCGCCUUGCCCUCUCGAUAGGAGCAGACCUCUACAGGUGACGACGCAUCCUUGCCCUUUAGAGGGUGUAUACAAUGCCCAUCCAAUCGCAGAAGCAUGUGGCAGAGAGCAAAGUAAUGGUAGCAUUCAAAGCACUUGUGCAAGACCUACUAGAGGUGGCACAUUAAUACACUUGCAAUAAAUGACCAAAGUCCUCCAAGGAUAGGAAGUUGUCGUCUUUGUUCUUAAAUAAACCAUGCUGCUGUUGAUGCUGAUGUUGUUUGUGAAUUGCUCUCGGGGUUGUUUGGUGGGGGUAGGGGGGCAUUCUUGUUGUUCUUUCAGACUCUUUCUCCGUGAACAACCUGGUCUUUAUUGGACAAGCACAGAAAUUUGAACGGAAGACUGGUUCUCUAAAUCAGGCAGGAAAUCUUUGCAGCCUAUUUUUCCUCCUUUCCCCAUUCCACUGAGGCAGAUGGUAGAUCCAGGCACUUGACAUACAGAGGUCUUGUAACUAAGGAACAUGAUCUGACCAAGGGAGGAGGUCUAAAAUGUUUAAACUAGACCAGUGGGGGAAAACACUUAGCGGUUUGGGGUAAGUAAACGCCUAAGUUCACAUCUUGCGGCUGAAGAAGCUGUGUUCUUCCCAGAACUUGAGCAUUGGCAAUUUUACCAGGCAAAAAUCCAAACAGAGGAGGAGGACAGAAUUAGUACAAGUGUGUACGUCUGUGUACUUUAAACCGAAGAUUAACACUUGUUGGUCUUGCCUAGCCUUGCCUAUGUAGAAACUUGCAUGCCCUUUGAUAUGCUUGCCAUCCAUCUCCUGUAGUGCUAGCGCUGUCAUCUCUUUCCAGUUAACAACAUGCAGGGCUGGGCCGAGGGGGGUGAUAUGGGGGCAACUGUUUCAGUGUCUUGUUUCAGAGGCUUCAUCUCAUAAUGCCUAGACCCUAACGCACCAUUUGUGAAGCUGCUCAGGAUGAUGACUCUCUCCUGUUGCCACAUUCUCUGUGCGCAUGUGAAGGCCUUUGCAGUGAGUUGACUGAUGCUCAUACACUUAACAGCUGUUCUGACUUGAUCACCGUGGGGUGGCGGGAGGGGCUCACAUUGUCCCAGCUCUUCUUUUUUGCAGACUUCACAGAGAGAAGUGUGCCUGAAGCAGAUCUGUUCAGUUGGCAAGUAAUAAAUGAUGGCAGUGUGCUUGAUCUGCUUGCGUAGAGAAUAUGAAUCUGCCUCCUUUCCUUUGUGUGGAGUAGUGAUUGUUGAAGGAGAAAUAAAUCGCUGAGUGACAAAAUGCCUGUGGUUUGAAAGGAGCUCUUGAAUCCGAUGUCCAGUAAAAACCCUGCCGUGUAAACGCUCGUUGUAUGACUGAGAGACACGUGCAUUUUGACUGUGCUGCUUUAGGUAACCUGCUGUUUUGUUCUUCUUUGGCUGCUGGGGGAGGGGGAGAGGGUACUGAAGCCUUUAAGUCUCUUCCAGAUGCAUCUUCACAACUCACAGACACCAGAAAUAAAACCUUCCAACCCAACAAACCAUCAAGAAGCGAACAUCACAUUCCACCAGUUAGUGGUCGUAUUUUCUGUGCAAUGCUUUUGUGUGGGUCUCUCCUUUUUCAGUUUCCUCACAGUUUUCAGCAACAGCACACAACACCCCAAUAAAGCCAGCUCUCCUCGAGGAGCCACAGAAGUCAUGGCAGUAAGAAACAGUUGUGGUCAAAGCACUUUUGCAUGGGAUGAGUGGGAGGGGGCUGGUGACAAACCAGUUUCUCUAGAUUGCUUUUCACAGACCAGUAGAAGGAACUGCCAGACACACGAAUUCACACUUCAAUGGACAAAAGAACAGGUGAACCACAUUUUCUCUCUCUUCACAGCAGGAAUCGUGAAGCCAGAAUGUUAAGAGACUGGGAAGUUUUUAAUGCAUCUUCCCGUUCUGCCUCUAGGUUCAGCUUCAUGCUGAAACCCCAGUAACAGUGGGAGUAAAUACCGCGUGUAAAUUCCAUCCUUAACGGAUGCUUGAGGCAAUGGUGGGUUGAGACCUGGUAAGCUUUAAUAGCCCAAAGGGAUCCCCACUGAAAGAUGAGCUUCAUGCUCCCAAGCCUCUCCAGACACCUUGUAAGGCAUAGUUGGAGUGGAGGCAGACCUAAUUGCAAAGAAUUGAAGAACCCCCUAAGAAGACUGGCUUGCCCAGUGUAAUUGGCAGGAUGGGGCCCUUUGUGAUAACUCUGCAAUGGGCUGGCAGAAUUGCCACCAGUCUAUAAGGUGUCUGUGGCCAUGGUGGUGCUAACACUGAAUCAUGGCUGUCUUUGGGUUUUUUAAGUCCCUAACUUGACAAGUGCUUUAAGGGGUUUUGUGGCGGGUGGGAUUAUGCCGCAACCCGCUUUUUUGCUAAGAAUCUUCCAGGAACAGCUAUUGCGUACAUAACUCAGCCAACACAAAGCGUUGACUCCAUACUAAAGCUUGGAUCCUCUCCAGUACUUCUGUUCUCAAGGUAAUCCAUUAAAAUACCAAUUUCAAAACCACAGCUAGCAAUCAGCUUGUUUGGCCAGUAACUUCUCGCUCCAAAGCUAACAUCGCAGUUGAAGGAAGGUAACUACUGAAACUCUUGACCUUAUCUGAGAGCAAAAUACUGAUGAUAUGACAUGCACAGACCCUGAAGAAGUAAACGUCUAAAUGCUGUAUGAUAAAAGCAGUAACCAGCGGUUGUACGUGUUGUGAUUGUGGGACGUAAUGGGUGGGUACCAUGUGCUUGGCUAGGCAGCAGAUUUCCAGUUGUGAUCCAUAGAGUGGCAUUGGGGAGGGUGUUGCAACUCUUGUGUGCUAAGACUCUUUCAGGUCGCAAUAAGGGAGUAGUCAGAAGCGGAAGCUUUAUGAAGCAGAUUCCUUCAAAUCUCCAAAUCUCUCUUAAGGUUUUUCUUUUCCUGAGAGAACAAUCUUGUGUUUUCUCAGGUUUUGCUUUUCACCUUGCUGCAUUACAAAAAAAAAAGCAAAAGACACUGGUGGUUGGCACUCCUGGUUUCCAGGACGGGGUUCAAGUCCCUGUGGUGUCCUUGCUUGCUUCCAAUGCAACCCUUUUUCCUCAUCUUUUUCUCUUCCUUCACUGCCUUAAUUGCAUUCCAUCCCCUAAAGCCUAAAAUUUGUAUGAUUUUACUGAGGUUUGAUCAGUGAUAUCCAGGAUUUGAAACCUAACGACUGAUGCAUCGUGGCUUUUGCUGUGAAGCUGCUUCCCUAAUGGCCUAGUAUGUCUUGGUAGGCUGUAAUAUGUGGACCGUUCUCAACCUAACUUUCCAUCCACUGGCCAGCGUGGGUGUUCCAGCUGCAAAUGGCAAAUAAGAUGAGUGGCCUUACAGCAGACAAAAGGAAUGCUAGAGUUGGAAGCGACCCUGAGGAUCAUCUAGUCCAACCCUCCCCCCCCCAUGCAGGAAUGUGCAACUGUCCCAUACAGGGAUCAAAUUUGCAACCUUAUCAUUAUCGGUACCAUGCUCUAACCAACUGCGCUAUGCAGACUUGUUAAUGUCUUUGCAUUGUUUUCAUGGAGGAAAAUUUAGUGUCUUUGGUUGCUUCUAAGACUACAGUGGGCUAGAUGAGAAUUGGGGGUUGGUGUCCUAGUAUCUGCUUCAGGCUGUCCUUUAGUUUCCUCCAUACUUUUGAAAUCUUAUGUGCUUUGUGUGUACAUGCCUGUGACAUAAUGUGUGUUACCGCUUUGAAAUAAAAUUGGAAUAAAUUCUU